rnacentral:rRNA from 1 species
UACGGGGGGGGGGCAAGCGUUGUUCGGAAUUACUGGGCGUAAAGGGCUCGUAGGCGGCCAACUAAGUCGGAUGUGAAAUCCCCAGGCUCAACCUGGGAACUGCAUCCGAUACUGGAUGGCUUGAAUCCGGGAGAGGGAUGCAGAAUUCCAGGUGUAGCGGUGAAAUGCGUAGAUAUCGUGAGGAAUACCGGUGGCGAAGGCGGCUCUCGAUCGG